rnacentral:rRNA from 1 species
GAUGAACGCUGGCGGCGUGCCUAAUACAUGCAAGUCGAGCGAACAGACGAGGAGCUUGCUCCUCUGACGUUAGCGGCGGGCGGGUGAGUAACACGUGGAUAACCUACCUAUAAGACUGGGAUAACUUCGGGAAACCGGAGCUAAUACCGGAUAAUAUAUUGAACCGCAUGGUUCAAUAGUGAAAGACGGUUUUGCUGUCACUUAUAGAUGGAUCCGCGCCGCAUUAGCUAGUUGGUAAGGUAACGGCUUACCAAGGCAACGAUGCGUAGCCGACCUGAGAGGGUGAUCGGCCGCACUGGAACUGAGACACGGUCCAGACUCCUACGGGAGGCAGCAGUAGGGAAUCUUCCGCAAUGGGCGAAAGCCUGACGGAGCAACGCCGCGUGAGUGAUGAAGGUCUUCGGAUCGUAAAACUCUGUUAUUAGGGAAGAACAAAUGUGUAAGUAACUAUGCACGUCUUGACGGUACCUAAUCAGAAAGCCACGGCUAACUACGUG